GACGAACGCUGGCGGCGUGCCUAAUACAUGCAAGUAGAACGCACAGUUUAUACCGUAGCUUGCUACACCAUAGACUGUGAGUUGCGAACGGGUGAGUAACGCGUAGGUAACCUGCCUGGUAGCGGGGGAUAACUAUUGGAAACGAUAGCUAAUACCGCAUAAUAUUGAUUAUUGCAUGAUAAUUGAUUGAAAGAUGCUAUUGCAUCACUACCAGAUGGACCUGCGUUGUAUUAGCUAGUAGGUGAGGUAACGGCUCACCUAGGCGACGAUACAUAGCCGACCGGCGAAGGUGGUCGGCCGCCCUGGGAGGGGGACACGGCCCAGACGGCUACGGGAGGCAGCCGUAGGGAAUCUUCGGCAAUGGGCGAAAGUCUGACCGAACAACGCCGAGGGAGUGAAGAAGGUUUUCGGAUCGUAAAGCUCUGUUGUAAGAGAAGAACGGGUGUGAGAGUGGAAAGUUCACACUGUGACGGUAUCUGACCAGAAAGGGACGGCUAACUACGUG
rnacentral:rRNA from 1 species